UACCAGCUCUUCGAGUGGUAACCGCUAUUAUUGGGCCUAAAGCGUCCGUAGCCGGUUUUGUAAAUAUCUGGGUAAAUCGUGAGGCUUAACUUCACGAAUUUCGGAUAGACUGCCAGACUUGGGAUCGGGGGAGGUCAGAGGUACUCCAGGGGUAGCGGUGAAAUGUUGUAAUCCUUGGAGGACCACCGGUAGCGAAGGCGUCUGACUAGAACGAGUCCGACGGUGAGGGACGAAGCCCUGGGGCGCAAACCGGAUUAGAUACCCGGGUAGUCCAGGGUGUAAACGAUGUGGGCUUUGUAUUGGAGGUCCCACGUGGGCGUCCAGUGCAGAAGAGAAGUUGUUAAGCCCACCGCCUGGGAAGUACGGUCGCAAGGCUGAAACUUAAAGGAAUUGGCGGGGGAGCACAGCAACGGGAGGAGCGUGCGGUUU
rnacentral:rRNA from 1 species